rfam:Cephalotus follicularis DNA, scaffold: scaffold3845, isolate: St1.
AUAAAGGAUCUUAUAAGAUCCACAUUCGUCAAACCUUUAAAAUUCAU